AUUUGUGUACCUAAAUAGAGGGAAGGUUUGGGGUUCAGGGAUUUACACAAUUUUAAUCUAGCUCUACUUGCUAAACAGGUUUGGAGGUUGCUCAAGAACUCUGACUCUCUAUGUGCACAAAUUUUGAGGGUCAAAUAUUAUCCAGAUGGGAAGUUAUUGGAUGCUAUCUUGAGGAUUGGAAGCUCGUACACAUGGCAAAGUAUUUGCGCUGGAAUUAACACAUUCAAGAGAGGUGCAAUAUGACGCACAGGGGAUGGAUCGCAAGUGAAUAUUUGAUCUGAUUCGUGGAUACAAUCUAGUGCUGAUGGGCGUGUCAUUACACCACGAGGAGGGACCCUUCUACCUAAGGUUUCAGAACUAAUUAAUCCUGUCACCGGUUUGUGGGAUCAAGAGUUGAUAAACGAUGUGUUUUGGCUGGUAGAUGCGCAUAUAAUUCUUUCACUACCGCUGGCACCACAUGAAAUGAUGGAAGACUUCGUGGCCUGGAGGUUUACAAAGAACCAUAUUUUCUCGGUGAGAUCAGCUUAUUAUGUGGAGUGGAAACACCAAUUUGCCCAAUGGUAUGAAUGA
rnacentral:rRNA from 1 species